CAGCUGACAGUUGCACUUAGGACUGCCAAGAUCCCAGACAUGACGGGAAAGCCAAGAAUCCUAAACUGAUCUUAAGUUUAGACUCCCAAGAACUAUAUAAUGGCAAACAGAGAGCUGAAGUGAUUUUUCUAUGAAGCUUCAUCAUAACUUUUUUUUUUAAUUUAAAAGAUUUAAAGCUGGAGUAUUAUAUUGAAAGGGUUUUUUUUACCCAGGAAGAUGUCUGAAAAACCAGACAGACUGAAUGAGACUUUUUACUGCAUAACUCCCUCAGUGGAUAAAUCAAGAGCUGAUCUGGAUGGAGAUGGACAACUAAUUCUGAAUGCUCCUGCAGCCUCCCUAGAAAAUCAAAUUUGCAGUGGAGGGUUCUCCUGAAUUCAGCACUACUGAUGGUGGCACAGGGAUGUCUUUCGUUACAUUAGGCUGAUUCACCAGUGAAGACUGUUGUCACUGUUAUGCAAGCCCUGGAACAUUCAGAAUAAAGUAUUCUGAUGUAUUUUA